UGCAUGGAACUGUUGAAGUGACUCAGUAAUAAGCUUUGUGCUAUUGUGAUUUCUAAGAGACGAAAAUUGAAACGCAAAAUUGCCAGAGAGAUAACAGGAAACGUAAUAAAUAUUGGCAUUCUGCCCUGUAGGUUCACCUUCUUGGUGGGAUGUACAGCAUAUGAUGAAUGUGUAAAAGAAAUUUCUAUUCUUUUCAAAUUGUGAUGGUUUAUUUCUGUCAACCCACAUUAGUAAAUGUAUGUAAUGUGAAGGUGCUGUUAGAACGCUUAAUGCCUUAAAUACGCACCUACAUAAUAACUGUCAGUAAAUCUGUAGCAUCGCUAUCUUCAGCUGCCCAGUUGCAAUGUGAAUGCAAUACAUGAUCAGAUUAGCUGAUUAUAUGUUCCAGCAUUUGACAACUUAAUAUGUGCUCAAAUGUAGGAGUUUUUACUCCUAGGUACUUCAUUUGAGAUUGAUUUGCACCUCAUAGGCGACAGAAUGGUGUAUUCUACAUACAAAAUUCAUGUUACUAAACAAAGCACAUUGCAAAACCACAACAGAAUGACUACAGGAUUGCACAACCAAACGCUUCCUUUCACCACCCUAUUUUUUUUGUUAUGGUUACUAGGGAUAGGCCUCAGCCAGUGCCCAAGAUCAUUAUUUUUAUUUUACCAUGUGUGGCAAAUUGAUGUGUCUGGUAAUAUAUUAAUGUCAUGUCACUGUCUAUAGUAGUAUCAUAGAUACACUUUAAGAAAAUUAAAUGGUUUAUAUUCCACUGUGAAAACCCACUGUCAUAAAAUGUUUAUUGAAGUGGAUGACACUUGUAUCUCUUGUGUUGGAGUUAUUGUUGCAACGAAUGUGAUUUUGUAGUAUGACAUGUUAAAAACAAC